rnacentral:rRNA from 1 species
UAACGCGAAGAACCUUACCAAAUCUUGACAUCCUCUGACCCCUCUAGAGAUAGAGUUUUCCCCUUCGGGGGACAGAGUGACAGGUGGUGCAUGGUUGUCGUCAGCUCGUGUCGUGAGAUGUUGGGUUAAGUCCCGCAACGAGCGCAACCCUUAAGCUUAGUUGCCAUCAUUAAGUUGGGCACUCUAAGUUGACUGCCGGUGACAAACCGGAGGAAGGUGGGGAUGACGUCAAAUCAUCAUGCCCCUUAUGAUUUGGGCUACACACGUGCUACAAUGGACAAUACAAAGGGCAGCGAAACCGCGAGGUCAAGCAAAUCCCAUAAAGUUGUUCUCAGUUCGGAUUGUAGUCUGCAACUCGACUANAUGAAGCUGGAAUCGCUAGUAAUCGUAGAUCAGCAUGCUACGGUGAAUACGUUCCCGGGUCUUGUACACACCGA